GUUUUGUUGGCAGGCUUUUCGUGAAGAGUUCUUCAAAGCCAGUAGAUAUUUUAGCAAAGUUGAAUCAAUUUGCUGGUUUUCCCCUUGAUGAAGAACUUGAAAUUUAUGAGGAAAUAAAGUUUGAGCCUGUUGUCAUGUGCGAACACCUUGAUAAGAUGUUCUCGUUUCGGUCGAGCCUGAUUGGAGAUGGGGACAUUAUAUGCUUUUAGAAAUCUACUCCGCUUGAAAUAGACGAAGGAUGUAAAUACCCUGAUGUUCCUUCAUUUUUGGACUAUGUGCUCAAUCGCCGGGUUGUUCAUUUCCAUUCUUCGGAGAAACCGAUGGAGGAGGAUUUUUGUUUAGAAUUGUCAAAGCUACACACUUAUGAUGAUGUGGUGGAGAAAUUAGCUCACCACAUUGGUUUGGAAAAUCCCACCAAAAUCCGACUCACUGCACAUAACUGCUAUUCUCAACAACCUAAGCUCGAACCAAUAAAAUAUCAGGGAGUAGAGCAUUAACAGAAAU